GAUGAACGCUGGCGGCGUGCUUAACACAUGCAAGUCGAACGGAAAGGCCCUGCUUUUGUGGGGUGCUGGAGUGGCGAACGGGUGAGUAACACGUGAGUAACCUACCCUUGACUUUGGGGUAACUUCAGGAAAAUGGGGCUAAUACCGGAUAGGAUCUCCUGCUGCAUGGUGGGGGUUGGAAAGUUUCGGCGGUUGGGGUUGGUCUCGCGGCUGAUCAGCUUGUUGGUGGUGAAGUGGCUUACCAAGACUUUGACGGGUCGCCGGCGUGAGAGGGGGACCGGCCACAUGGGGACUGAGAUACGGCACAGAGUAGUACGGGAGGCAGGGGUGGGGAAUAUAGCACAAUGGGCCGAAGCCGGAUGAAGCAACGCCGCGUGCGGGAUGACGGCCUUCGGGGUGAAAACAGCUCUCGCGUGAGACGAAGCGUGAGUGACGGUAACGUGUAAAGAAGCACCGGCUAACUACGUG
rnacentral:rRNA from 1 species